rnacentral:rRNA from 1 species
GACGAACGCUGGCGGCGUGCUUAACACAUGCAAGUCGAACGAAGUGGCGAACGGGUGAGUAACGCGUAAUCAACCUGCCCUUCAGAGGGGGACAACAGUUGGAAACGACUGCUAAUACCGCAUACUGAAGGAGGGGAUUGCGUCUGAUUGGUUAGUUGGAGGGGUAACGGCCCACCAAGGCGAUGAUCAGUAUCCGGGCCGAGGGGAAGAACGGCCACAUUGGGACUGAGACACGGCCCAGACUCCCACGGGGGGCAGCAGGGGGGAAUCUUCCGCAAAUGACGGAAGUCUGACGGAGCAACGCCGCGGGAGUGAUGACGGCCUUCGGGUUGUAAAGCUCUGUUAAUCGGGACGCGGUACCGGAAUAGAAAGCCACGGCUAACUACGUGCCAGCAGCCGCGGUAAUUC